rnacentral:miRNA from 16 species
CACACUGAUGGGGGUUAUUGG